rnacentral:rRNA from 1 species
UACGAAGGGGGCUAGCGUUGCUCGGAAUCACUGGGCGUAAAGGGCGCGUAGGCGGCCAUUCAAGUCGGGGGUGAAAGCCUGUGGCUCAACCACAGAAUUGCCUUCGAUACUGUUUGGCUUGAGUAUGGUAGAGGUCAGUGGAACUGCGAGUGUAGAGGUGAAAUUCGUAGAUAUCGGGAGGAACACCAGUGGCGAAGGCGGCGAUCUGGGUCGAUACUGACGCUGAGGUGCGAAAGCGUGGGGAGCAAACAGG